UACAGAGGUCUCAAGCGUUGUUCGGAUUCAUUGGGCGUAAAGGGUGCGUAGGCGGCGCGGUAAGUCGGGUGUGAAAUUCGAGGCUUAACUCGAAACUGCAUUCGAUACUGCCGUGCUUGAGGACUGGAGAGGAGACUGGAAUUUACGGUGUAGCGGUGAAAUGCGUAGAUAUCGUAAGGAAGACCAGUGGCGAAGGCGGGUCUCUGGACAGUUCCUGACGCUGAGGCACGAAGGCCAGGGGAGCAAACGGGGAUUAGAACC
rnacentral:rRNA from 1 species